UGGGGAAUAUUGGACAAUGGGCGAAAGCCUGAUCCAGCCAUGCCGCGUGUGUGAAGAAGGUCUUCGGAUUGUAAAGCACUUUAAGUUGGGAGGAAGGGCAUUAACCUAAUACGUUAGUGUUUUGACGUUACCGACAGAAUAAGCACCGGCUAACUCUGUGCCAGCAGCCGCGGUAAUACAGAGGGUGCAAGCGUUAAUCGGAAUUACUGGGCGUAAAGCGCGCGUAGGUGCUUUGUUAAGUUGGAUGUGAAAUCCCCGGGCUCAACCUGGGAACUGCAUUCAAAACUGACUGACUAGAGUAUGGUAGAGGGUGGUGGAAUUUCCUGUGUAGCGGUGAAAUGCGUAGAUAUAGGAAGGAACACCAGUGGCGAAGGCGACCACCUGGACUAAUACUGACACUGAGGUGCGAAAGCGUGGGGAGCAAACA
rnacentral:rRNA from 1 species